CUUUUCCAGUUGUAGGUGAUGAGCUACAGCAGUGAACAAAACAGCAGAGUCUCUCCUUACGGGGCUUCUAUUCUGGCAGGAAGAGAUGGCCAAGAAACAAAAAGGUGUCUGGGCUGCUUCCUUUAAUCAAGGCCCUAUCAUAGUCCAGUUACAUGAAUCAGAAGAGGUGGAGCUGGGACUGGAAGGCAAGCAUUCUUCCCUCAGUCUGUGUUUCCCCAGGGAUCCUGAAACAUGUGAACCUAAGGCAACAAAGUAAAGUACCUCUGAGUCCUUGAAGCAGCAACGAUUUCUCCAAACUCCAGGACAUCUUGGAUUAUGCCUUGCCUGCUGCCCUGCCUGUCACACGGGUGUGUGUGAAGACCGGCUAUGAUAAUAAUGUGUGGUAGAUGGAUAUAUUUUGCUAAAUGCAAAGCACCAUAACAAUGUGAGUUGUUAUUCUCAUUUCAGUGUUUUCUGGAUGGAGUUGAAAUAUUUUGGCAGUCAUAGAAUGAACUGUAGCAUAUCCAAAUUCAUGUAUGAUAAAUCAUGU